UGGGAACACCAAGGGCAUGGCAGCAGCAUCUGGUGGGGUUCUGUGCUACAUUACCCCAUGGUGGAAGGGCAGAGGGCAGAGGGCAGAAGAGGAAAGGCAGAAGAGAAAGACAGCAUGGGAGACAGCAAGAAAAUGGAGGCCAAAACUUAUCCUUUUAUCAGGAAUCCACUCCCACAGUCAGUGGCUCCUGAAUAGCUUCCAGC
rnacentral:lncRNA from 1 species